GGAGAAGUAUCGAAGCGGUCAUAACGGGGCGCACUCGAAAUGCGUUUGUCCUAACCGGACACGUGGGUUCGAAUCCCACCUUCUCCGCCA
rnacentral:tRNA from 1 species